rnacentral:pre_miRNA from 1 species
AGCCUUCUGUAUCCGUGCUGAGAUUUCGUCACAAGGGCUGAUGAGACUUCCAAGAUAAGUGAAGCG